rnacentral:rRNA from 1 species
GACGAACGCUGGCGGCGUGCCUAAUACAUGCAAGUCGAACGCAUUUUCUUUCACCGUAGCUUGCUACACCGAAAGAAAAUGAGUGGCGAACGGGUGAGUAACACGUGGGUAACCUGCCCAUCAGCGGGGGAUAACACUUGGAAACAGGUGCUAAUACCGCAUAAUUCCAUUUCCUGCAUGGUAGAUGGAUGAAAGGCGCUUUUGCGUCACUGAUGGAUGGACCCGCGGUGCAUUAGCUAGUUGGUGGGGUAACGGCCUACCAAGGCUGCGAUGCAUAGCCGACCUGAGAGGGUGAUCGGCCACACUGGGACUGAGACACGGCCCAGACUCCUACGGGACGCAGCAGUAGGGAAUCUUCGGCAAUGGACGCAAGUCUGACCGAGCAACGCCGCGUGAGUGAAGAAGGUUUUCGGAUCGUAAAACUCUGUUGUUAGAAAAGAACAAGGAUGAGAGUGGAAAGUUCAUCCCUUGACGGUAUCUAACCAGAAAGCCACGGCUAACUACGUG